UACGAAGGGGGCUAGCGUUGUUCGGAAUUACUGGGCGUAAAGCGCGCGCAGGCGGCUAUCCAAGUCAGUGGUGAAAGCCCGGAGCUCAACUCCGGAACUGCCAUUGAAACUGUUUAGCUUGAGGAUGAGAGAGGUGAGUGGAAUUCCCAGUGUAGAGGUGAAAUUCGUAGAUAUUGGGAAGAACGCCGGUGGCGAAGGCGGCUCACUGGCUCAUUACUGACGCUCAGGCGCGAUAGCGUGGGGAUCAAACAGG
rnacentral:rRNA from 1 species